rnacentral:rRNA from 1 species
UGGCUGUCGUCAGCUCGUGUCGUGAGAUGUUGGGUUAAGUCCCGUAACGAGCGCAACCCUUGUCCUUAGUUACCAGCACCUCGGGUGGGCACUCUAAGGAGACUGCCGGUGACAAACCGGAGGAAGGUGGGGAUGACGUCAAGUCAUCAUGGCCCUUACGGCCAGGGCUACACACGUGCUACAAUGGUCGGUACAAAGGGUUGCCAAGCCGCGAGGUGGAGCUAAUCCCAUAAAACCGAUCGUAGUCCGGAUCGCAGUCUGCAACUCGACUGCGUGAAGUCGGAAUCGCUAGUAAUCGUGAAUCAG